UGAGACGGUUUUAUGGAUUCUGGCAGCGAUAUGAAACGUAGCGUAGUCAUAUUUCGGUGCAGCAUAAGAACCAGCUGUGAUGGGGGGCUAAAGAUAGCAUACCUCCGACGGGGGGCUCCACUUUCAGCUGAGGAGUUAUUCCCCCCAACAGGAAAAUGAGACUCAGCGGCCCAGAUAAGCACUUUUAUUGCUUAAUACGUUCAACUUGUUGAAACUCAAAUUUGAGGGAUAUCUCACCGGAGACUUUCCACGAAGCUGCACUGAUUUUUAUAUAUCGUAUAAACUGCGUCUGUAUCUCUGCGUGUCUGUGAAUAGUGGGAAUCCUUUGGCUGAUGUUUCUGAGGAACUUCAGCCCGAAUCCUUCAGUUCUCUGCAGCUCGAGAGCAUUUUAGACCGACCGACCUCGACCACACGUCUAUCUACAGGGCGUUUUUUUUUAAAAACAGGGGGUUUCCUCCUUUGUUCUAAAAAAGUCCACAGGAGCUCUGUUUGUGCCCAAAACACGCUGUCAGGCGUUGUCAAGAGCAAGCCGGAUCAACAGGCAGUGAUACAACCUUCACCCUGAGGGCGUGUCGGCCAACCAGAACGGAAAAAGUUAUAACCGAUCGGACACCUGCAGCUACAGUCAGUGUGGUCUGUGUCGUGGUGGCGACCUACGUGGACUCCUCCACUGCUCAGUAUACUGGAACAGUAUAAUAGUAAUUGAAUUGAAACACAGGAGGCUGGAAGAGAGUCCUGUUAGCAUGGUAUUAGCCACCGCUAUCUGUGCCGCGUCCGCAGUUAUGAAAAUACAGCCUCAUGUGAACACAGGAGACAACAGUGUGUACUCUGCGUCACAGGCUGAAAACUAUCAGCACCAAAACUGUUAUUUUCUGAAAGUGCCCUCUGGAUUACAGAUGUCAAAACAACUUCCUGCACACUGGUGCCUGAUCACAUACAGCCGGUGUGCUUUUUACUUUUUUGCCCCGACCCUCAAACAUCCAGCGACCCGAGACGCAGUAUGUGUCCGGACAAAAAGGCCAAAACUCAUUUAAAAACGUCCACUUUUUCAAAAUGGACUCUGGGUUAGCUGGCUUAUUAUUCAGUUAACGACCAGUUUAUAAGGCAUGUUGUGCUGUGGGGAGAAAAGGUGCUGAAUGUGUUGCUCAUCAGUUUAUCAUGCAAAUGUUUAAACUUUUAUCAAGAUGUUUUCUUUCUUUUACUCCAGAAUAAAGCAGAUAAAGAGCCAGAUUCUUCCUUCAGGAGCAUGUGGACUCUGAAGCAGAGCUGAAGGGAGUGAACGAGGAAAUAAAUGCUGGUGUCGUGAUACGUACGCAGAAUGUGUGAACAGCAGAUUGAACAAAACACAGCGGCACGUGUUAAAGUGCUCGUUGUGUUAUCAGUUUUUAGCUGAGCUGACUGUAAACCAGAAGCGGCAGACGUAACGUAACUGGUGAAGACUUUUUACUGUAAACCUCAGGUACUUUUCUCCAGCGCGAGCGCGGCUCAAAGCUCGCGGCGUGGGUGUGGUUUGAUUGGAUUUCGUUGACGUUGGAACCGGAGACGCGAGGAAACAGCCGCGCAGCUCUUGAUCGUGUUUUCAUUUUAAAUGUUGCCAGGUCAUGAUUGGUGCGUGGAAGAAGAUGUCAUCAUGUUCUUACAUCCCUCUUCAAAAACCAGUGAGAUCACCGCUGAAGGCACGAACGCAGAAAACUUCUCAAGGGAAACGUGUGUGAAAAGUCCGAGAAGACAUUUUUCAGAGCCUAUUGAACCAGGACAGUCGUCACGUGGCAGUGUGUCACCUAAUAUCGUCCACGGAGAAGCUGAACAGGACUUGAACUUUCCAGAACCGGGCCCGUCUGAAGUGGCUCUUUUCACUUGGCAGCUGCGAGACGUGAUAAUAUGCGAGAAGCUGUGCACAGAAUUAAAUUAGAAUACCGCAAAGACUUUAUUUCCCAUUUGUUCGAGUUAUCGGAACAUUAUUUUGACUGCUUUUAUUUUCUGCGUAAGAACGGGAGACGGCGGCCAUGUUUCCUCUGGUGUCACGCUCAGGGUGUCAGAGUGGAGAAGCUCGUGUUGUUCCAGGUUACAAGUCAUGCAAACAAAAAAGUUAACACACCACUUCUGGAUUGAUUGAUCAGCAACUGAAAAGACGAUGGAGGGUAAAAAUCUGGAGGGUUUGAUAACCGUUUAGCGAACUUUAGCGUCCAAUCACUUUCUAGCUGACAUUCCUGUUUCCUGUGUUAGAGCGACACAUUUCUUUAAGCCUGGAAAUGAAACACGCUGGAUGUAAUCAAUCAGAAACAUCAGCUAGGAAGUGGUUGAAUGCUAACGUUAGCUAACGGGAAAUCAAAUAUGCAGUUUUACCAUAAAAUAUGGACCAAUUUCUCUCCAGACUUUUGCCGUCCAUCAACUUUUCAGUCGCAGAUCGAGUGAUUAAAUGAUAACAAUUUGUUAGAUUUGCUGUUUAUACUGUUAGCACAACCUGAAAGUCGCCGUGUAUAAAUAAGGUCAGCUGUAUUUUCAGGUGCUGAUCAAUAAGAAAGUGAUGCAAUCAUAGGAAGGUUUAUAUGACUUCCAGCCUGGAACACAACCUUGAGCAAGAUGUCAGAGGAACAUGGCCGCCGUGUGAAUAUGGCUCAUAGCAAAUCUGUUGUUUUUUUAAUAUCAAGGGUACAUGCAUGCUGGCCGUCCGGGACAAUGGAGCAGAGAGCCCACAGGAACUGGAGAGGAGCCUUUAAACCUUCAUCUUCCAGGCAGGAACCAAUCAGCUCCCAGGGACAACCUACAACCACUUAAACACACCUGUAACCAAUCACAUGCACACACUCACUCAGUGAUCCUGUGAAGCAACACGUCUGUUUGCUCGGCCUCAGCUCGCGGCAGGGCGUGCUGUUAUUGUUCCAACCACAUUACAGCGAUGUGCCACGGGACAGGAAGAGGUGCUGCGAGGGGUUGGGUACACACAGCCUGUUAAUCUCGUCUCAUCACCCCCCCCCCCCGACUCUGACGCUGUAAACCAGCCAAGAAGUUCCACAACAUCUCACUUAAUUUAAUUCAAGUAAUCAGGUUUAGCAGCAAAACGUCUGGUCUGUAUUAGUCUAGCCUCCCCAGCGUCACAGUCCUGUCCAGAAAGCCUCUUUUUGAUUUAAUUCUGUGUUUGUCAUGCGCUAUUGUCCGGGGCACAUGCAAUCAGUGACUGAAUGGAUUAGCAGCGCAGUGCAAAAACAAACAACAAA